GGCCCCAUCGUCUAGCGGUCUAGGACUCCGGGUUCUCAGCCCGGCAACAGGGGUUCGAAUCCCCUUGGGGCUACCA
rnacentral:tRNA from 1 species